GGGGGAAUAGUCCGUAGUUGGUAGCGGGGCAGACUGUAAAUCUGCUACACGAAAGUGUUCGGGUGGUUCGACUCCAUCUUCCCUCACCA
rnacentral:tRNA from 1 species